rnacentral:rRNA from 1 species
GAUGAACGCUGGCGGCGUGCCUAAUACAUGCAAGUCGAGCGAACAGAUAAGGAGCUUGCUCCUUUGACGUUAGCGGCGGACGGGUGAGUAACACGUGGGUAACCUACCUAUAAGACUGGAAUAACUCCGGGAAACCGGGGCUAAUGCCGGAUAACAUUUAGAACCGCAUGGUUCUAAAGUGAAAGAUGGUUUUGCUAUCACUUAUAGAUGGACCCGCGCCGUAUUAGCUAGUUGGUAAGGUAACGGCUUACCAAGGCAACGAUACGUAGCCGACCUGAGAGGGUGAUCGGCCACACUGGAACUGAGACACGGUCCAGACUCCUACGGGAGGCAGCAGUAGGGAAUCUUCCGCGAUGGGCGAAAGCCUGACGGAGCAACGCCGCGUGAGUGAUGAAGGUCUUCGGAUCGUAAAACUCUGUUAUUAGGGAAGAACAAAUGUGUAAGUAACUGUGCACGUCUUGACGGUACCUAAUCAGAAAGCCACGGCUAACUACGUG